UACGGAGGGUGCGAGCGUUGUCCGGAUUUAUUGGGCGUAAAGAGCUCGUAGGCGGCUCAGUAAGUCGGGUGUGAAACCUCCAGGCUCAACCUGGAGACGCCACCCGAUACUGCUGUGGCUAGAGUCCAGUAGGGGAGUGUGGAAUUCCUGGUGUAGCGGUGAAAUGCGCAGAGUAUCAGGAGGAACACCGAUGGCGAAGGCAGGUCUCUGGGCCACUACUGACGCUGAGAAGCGAAAGCAUGGGAGCGAACAGG
rnacentral:rRNA from 1 species